rnacentral:rRNA from 1 species
CAGCAGCCACGGGAAUACGUAGGUGGCAAGCGUUGUCCGGAAUUAUUGGGCGUAAAGGGCUCGCAGGCGGUUUCUUAAGUCUGAUGUGAAAGCCCCCGGCUCAACCGGGGAGGGUCAUUGGAAACUGGGAAACUUGAGUGCAGAAGAGGAGAGUGGAAUUCCACGUGUAGCGGUGAAAUGCGUAGAGAUGUGUAGGAACACCAGUGGCGAAGGCGACCCUCUGGUCUGUAACUGACGCUGAGGAGCGAAAGCGUGGGGAGCGAACAGGAUUAGAUACCCCCGUAGUCCCUGUCUCUUAUAC